AUUGAACGCUGGCGGCAUGCCUAACACAUGCAAGUCGAACGAGUGGCGGACGGGUGAGUAAUGUCUGGGAAACUGCCUGAUGGAGGGGGAUAACUACUGGAAACGGUAGCUAAUACCGCAUACCAUCGGAUGUGCCCAGAUGGGAUUAGCUAGUAGGUGGGGUAAAGGCUCACCUGGGCGACGAUCCCUAGCUGGUCUGCGAGGAUGACCGGCCACACGGGAACUGAGACACGGUCCGUACGCCUACGGGAGGCAGCAGUGGGGAAUAUUGAACAAUUGGCGCAAGCCUUAUGCAGCCAUGCGGCGGGUAUGAAGAAGGCCUUCGGUUUUUAAAGUACUGUCAGCGGGGAGGCGUUACCCGCAGAAGAAGCACCGGCUAACUCCGUGCCAGCCGCCGCGGUAAUAC
rnacentral:rRNA from 1 species